UGGUUAGGGAUUGAUUUGGGAUUUGGAUUAGGGUUUGGAUUAGAAUUUAGGAUUUGGUUAGGAUUUACGCUUGGAUUAGGGUUUGGAUUAGGGUUUAAGGUUUGGUUAGGGUUUGAUUUAGGGUUUGGAUUAGGAUUUAGGAUUUGAUUAAGGUUUGAUUUAAGGUUUGGAUUAGGGUUUAAUUUAAGGUUUGGUUUAGGAUUUAGGGUUGGAUUAGAGUUUGGAUUAGGAUUUAAGGUUUGAUUUAGGGUUUGGUUUAGGGUUUAGGGUUUGAAAUAGGAUUUGAUUUAUUGUUUAAUUUAAGGUUUGCUUAGGAUUUGACUUAGGAUUUAGGAUUUAUUAGGGUUUAAGAUUUAAUUAG
rnacentral:lncRNA from 1 species